GGCUGACUCAGGUGGAAGGCAGAGUGAAAACACCCUGGUUCCUGCCCCUGGUGGUGUAGACUCCAGCAACAGGAGCCAAAAACAAGUGCUGAAACUACAGGAGUGAACCAUCAUGCCUGGCUCCCCCAGGAGUGCAUCAUUGCCCCUGGUUCCCAUCACUUAGAAUAUCAUCAAGAGCCUCAUCAUUAGGAGGUGGGGGAGACACCAUGAGGUCUUGAAGAUGACCAGCACACACCAUGUUCUGU